GAUGAACGCUGGCGGCGUGCUUAACACAUGCAAGUCGAACGAUGAAGCCCAGCUUGCUGGGUGGAUUAGUGGCGAACGGGUGAGUAACACGUGAGUAACCUGCCCUUAACUCUGGGAUAAGCCUGGGAAACUGGGUCUAAUACCGGAUAGGAGCGUCCACCGCAUGGUGGGUGUUGGAAAGAUUUAUCGGUUUUGGAUGGACUCGCGGCCUUUCAGCUUGUUGGUGAGGUAUUGGCUCACCAAGGCGACGACGGGUAGCCGGCCUGAGAGGGUGACCGGCCACACGGGGACUGAGACACGGCCCAGACUCCUACGGGAGGCAGCAGUGGGGAAUAUUGCACAAUGGGCGAAAGCCUGAUGCAGCGACGCCGCGUGAGGGAUGACGGCCUUCGGGUUGUAAACCUCUUUCAGUAGGGAAGAAGCGAAAGUGACGGUACCUGCAGAAGAAGCACCGGCUAACUACGU
rnacentral:rRNA from 1 species